GUGAGGAAUAUUGGACAAUGGGCGCAAGCCUGAUCCAGCCAUGCCGCGUGCAGGAAGACGCAUCUAUGGUGUGUAAACUGCUUUUGUACGGGAAGAAACACUCCCUCGUGAGGGAGCUUGACGGUACCGUAAGAAUAAGGAUCGGCUAACUCCGUGCCAGCAGCCGCGGUAAUACGGAGGAUCCAAGCGUUAUCCGGAAUCAUUGGGUUUAAAGGGUCCGUAGGCGGUUUAAUAAGUCAGUGGUGAAAGCCCAUCGCUCAACGAUGGAACGGCCAUUGAUACUGUUAGACUUGAAUUACAAGGAAGUAACUAGAAUAUGUAGUGUAGCGGUGAAAUGCUUAGAUAUUACAUGGAAUACCAAUUGCGAAGGCAGGUUACUACUUGUGGAUUGACGCUGAUGGACGAAAGCGUGGGGAGCAAACAGGAUUAGAAACCCCGGUAGUCC
rnacentral:rRNA from 1 species